rnacentral:rRNA from 1 species
AAUGAACGCUGGCGGCAGGCCUAACACAUGCAAGUCGAACGAGCGGCGGACGGGUGAGUAGUGUAUGGGGACUGCCCGAUAGAGGGGGCUAACUACUGGAAACGGUGGCUAAUACCGCAUACUAUCGGAUAACCCAUAUGGGAGUAGCUAGUUGGUGAGGUAAAGGCUCACCUAGGCGACGAUCUCUAGCUGGUCUGAGAGGAUGAUCAGCCACACUGGGACUGAGACACGGCCCAGACUCCUACGGAGGCAGCAGUGGGGAAUAUUGCACAAUGGACGCAAGCCUGAUGCAGCAAUGCCGCGUGUAUGAAGAAGGCUUUAGGGUUGUAAAGUACUUUUAGCGGGGAGGCGUUACCCGCCGAGAAAGCCCCGGCUAACUACGUGCCAGCAGCCGCGGUAAUAC